rnacentral:rRNA from 1 species
GACGAACGCUGGCGGCGUGCUUAACACAUGCAAGUCGAACGGAAAGGCCCUGCUUUUGUGGGGUGCUCGAGUGGCGAACGGGUGAGUAACACGUGAGUAACCUGCCCUUGACUUUGGGAUAACUUCAGGAAACUGGGGCUAAUACCGGAUAGGAGCUCCUGCUGCAUGGUGGGGGUUGGAAAGUUUCGGCGGUUGGGGAUGGACUCGCGGCUUAUCAGCUUGUUGGUGGGGUAGUGGCUUUCCAAGGCUUUGACGGGUAGCCGGCCUGUGAGGGUGACCGGCCACAUUGGGACUGAGAUACGGCCCAGACUCCUACGGGAGGCAGCAGUGGGGAAUAUUGCACAAUGGGCGGAAGCCUGAUGCAGCAACGCCGCGUGCGGGAUGACGGCCUUCGGGUUGUAAACCGCUUUCGCCUGUGACGAAGCGUGAGUGACGGUAAUGGGUAAAGAAGCACCGGCUAACUACGUG